rnacentral:lncRNA from 1 species
UGGCGGCCUGGCCCUCAGCCCCGCCUCAGGGCUGUGCCCCCGACUGCGCCCGGCUCUGUCCCCACCUCCCCAGCCCCAGGUCUCCCAAAGUUCAUCAGGAGAACCACCUACAGCCAAGAACAGAAAAGGAUUCAAGAAAGCCGCACAGAUAUCAUGCCCUGACCUGCAAUGAGGCUGCUCACUUCCCAUGACUUCUGCUUGAUACCAUUCAACCCUGGUUAGCUCAUGCUGAAGAAAUAUUUACUAGAAGCCUCAGAUAUGGGUGCCUAGAAGGAAAAAGAUCCAAGUUCUCUGUGGUGGUGCAACCUGUGGGAACUAUUGCCUCAUGCUCAGAAGGCCAAGCACUAGGCUCCCAUACAAUACCUACAAGACAGACACUCUGGGAGGCAGAUUUCUCUUUUGGAGGGAGACCCCAGGUGCUCUCCUCUGGGUGCCCGAGUGUUGGAAUGGGCGGAUGCCAAGACUUCAUUCUAGCUCUUGGUCAGCAGCAGCACUAAGGGUCUCUGAGAAGCAUCAGAGAUUUCACCACUGAUGAACUGCCAGGAGGCUAGUGGGGGCGGACUGAGGAGACACUGAAACACCGAAGCUGCCGCCACCACCGGCUGAUGCAAGUUUUAUUGAGACAAUAUACAAA